rnacentral:rRNA from 1 species
AACGAACGCUGGCGGCAUGCCUAACACAUGCAAGUCGAACGAGACCUUCGGGUCUAGUGGCGCACGGGUGCGUAACGCGUGGGAACCUGCCCUUAGGUUCGGAAUAACUCCCCGAAAGGGGUGCUAAUACCGGAUAAUGUCUUCGGACCAAAGAUUUAUCGCCUUUGGAUGGGCCCGCGUUGGAUUAGCUAGUUGGUAGGGUAAAAGCCUACCAAGGCGACGAUCCAUAGCUGGUCUGAGAGGAUGAUCAGCCACACUGGGACUGAGACACGGCCCAGACCCCGACGGGAGGCAGGAGUGGGGAAUAUUGGACAAUGGGCGAAAGCCUGAUCCAGCAGUGCCGCGGGAGUGAUGAAGGCCUUAGGGUUGUAAAGCUCUUUUACCCGGGAUGAUAAUGACAGUACCGGGAGAAUAAGCACCGGCUAACUCCGUG